rnacentral:rRNA from 1 species
GACGAACGCUGGCGGCGUGCUUAACACAUGCAAGUCGAACGAUGAAGAAAAGAAUCGAAGCUUCGGCAGAAAUUCAUUUCGGAUUAGUGGCAGACGGGUGAGUAACGCGUGAGCAACCUACCUCUUACAAAGGGAUAGCCUCGGGAAACCGGGAUUAAUACCAUAUAACAUUACGACGAAGCAUUUCGAUGCAAUCAAAGCUACGGCGGUAAGAGAUGGGCUCGCGUCCCAUUAACCGGAUGGUGAGGUAACGGCUCACCAUAGAGACGAUGGGUAACCGGCCUGAGAGGGUGAACGGUCACACUGGAACUGAGACACGGUCCAGACUCCUACGGGAGGCAGCAGUGGGGAAUAUUGCACAAUGGAGGGAACUCUGAUGCAGCGACGCCGCGUGAGUGAUGAAGGAAUUCGUUUCGUAAAACUCUGUUCUAUGGGAAGAAAAGGACUGUACCAUAGGAGAAAGCUCCGGCUAAAUACGUG